rnacentral:tRNA from 1 species
UCCCAGAUAGUGUAAAGGCAGCACAUCGGGUUUUGAUCCCGAGAAUCUAGGUUCGACCCCUAGUCUGGGAG